rnacentral:rRNA from 1 species
GAUGAACGCUGGCGGCGUGCUUAACACAUGCAAGUCGAACGAAGCACUUUUAUCGAUUUCUUCGGAAUGAAGUUUUAGUGACUGAGUGGCGGACGGGUGAGUAACGCGUGGGUAACCUGCCUCACACAGGGGGAUAACAGUUGGAAACGGCUGCUAAUACCGCAUAAGCGCACAGUACCGCAUGGUACGGUGUGAAAAACUCCGGUGGUGUGAGAUGGACCCGCGUCUGAUUAGCUAGUUGGCAGGGCAACGGCCUACCAAGGCGACGAUCAGUAGCCGACCUGAGAGGGUGACCGGCCACAUUGGGACUGAGACACGGCCCAAACUCCUACGGGGGGCAGCAGUGGGGAAUAUUGCACAAUGGGGGAAACCCUGAUGCAGCGACGCCGCGUGAGCGAAGAAGUAUUUCGGUAUGUAAAGCUCUAUCAGCAGGGAAGAAGAAAUGACGGUACCUGACUAAGAAGCACCGGCUAAAUACGUGCCAGCAGCCGCCGCAG